rnacentral:rRNA from 1 species
GACGAACGCUGGCGGCGUGCCUAAUACAUGCAAGUAGAACGCUGAAGGAGGAGCUUGCUUCUCCGGAUGAGUUGCGAACGGGUGAGUAACGCGUAGGUAGCCUGCCUGGUAGCGGGGGAUAACUAUUGGAAACGAUAGCUAAUACCGCAUAAGAGUAGAUGUUGCAUGACAUUUGCUUAAAAGGUGCAAUUGCAUCACUACCAGAUGGACCUGCGUUGUAUUAGCUAGUUGGUGAGGUAACGGCUCACCAAGGCGACGAUACAUAGCCGACCUGAGAGGGUGAUCGGCCACACUGGGACUGAGACACGGCCCAGACUCCUACGGGAGGCAGCAGUAGGGAAUCUUCGGCAAGGGACGGAAGUCUGACCGAGCAACGCCGCGUGAGUGAAGAAGGUUUUCGGAUCGUAAAGCUCGGUUGUAAGAGAAGAACGAGUGUGAGAGUGGAAAGUUCACACUGUGACGGUAUCUUACCAGAAAGGGACGGCUAACUACGUG